AAUCUAUGAUGACCUUAUCCCGAACCUGAAUAUCUGUUGAGAAAAAUGGGAAAGAGGAAAAACAGGAC
ensembl:snoRNA